AAUUUUUGAAGAAGUAAUCUGCUGAACUUGGAUGUGAAUUGUGAGAGACCUAAAGUAAAAUUUGCUGCAAAAGAAGGUCUAGCUAGUUAAAUUGUUGAUGGUCCAAGUGCCAAGUGUUCAAAUAAAAGUUAGUAAUUCACUCUAAGACAUUCUUUAUUGUUAGGAAAAAUUUACAUGAGGCCUUCUAAGUAUGAACUGAGAUCAGUAAGAACUGCGUCAUGCAGUGGAAUUCAAAUGAGCUUCACUCAACAGAAGAGAUUGAAGAGUGAGUUGAAAAUAGUACUUUAAAGAGUGCAUUGGCAGCAUUUCUCAAGUUUAUGCUGAUGGAGAUUAAUGAAUUUCACCAAUGAGAUAUCUAAUUGAAAGAAAGCCUUAGAACUCUCCACUUAAAAAGAUAUGUUGUUAGAGUUUGUGGGAUUUUCUCCUCAUCCACCUAAAAUGUUUUAGUUAUUUGCAAUACAACAGAGAAAAUAUACAAUUGGAGAACUAAGAGAACAUCUUAAAUCACAGAAGAUACGACCAUUCAAGCAGGACACAGACUAGAAAACUGCAAAUGAGACAAGAUGGCUACUAGAAAUUGUUAAUUUCUACUAGUGAGAUAGACUGAGAGUAUUCAAAUUGAUUUUAAAAUUUGGUAUAUUCAGCAUUAUAACUGAAUAUAAGUUCAUAUACACCUAAGAAAAAUGUAGAAAUAGAAAUCAAAAGUUGGCUCAAUGCACUACAGAUGAACAUCUUACCAAUAUCGCUGUUCAAAUCCCGUCACUAUUCAUAUGAGAAUUGCAUGUUUUUCCCCCAGAUACUCAUCAACAGUAGAAAAGAAUCCCCUGUGCAAUAACCUUGAUUUAAAGUUAUUGCAAAUAAAAAUAAAUCAAAGUCAUACUCAGUUUGGUAAUAGAAUCGAGAUACAAGUAAUGUAUCGGAGAGCUGAUAUUAUGAAUCGUAAAUCGUUUCGUAUAGUGAAUUGUAAGAUUCAUAAUCAUUAGAAAAUUUAAUAUAUACUUAAAUAUAUAAGAUAUGUAUACAUGCAAGAUACAAUAAAUUAUAUAUAUACCACACAAUUUCACCAAAACAACCUCUAUGGUGCAUACAUGUUAUUAAACAAAUUAUGUCUCUCUUUUUUUAUUUACUCAAUUUUUAAAAUCCACACUGAUUCGCACAAUACGGAAUCGUUUCGUUUCGGGAUUUAGCGAUUCUUUGUGCGAAUCGCACGAUACAGCUAAGAUUCAAGAAUAAAAAAAUUCUUCACACGAUUCGUAUCGUGGGAGGGCGAAACCGUAUCGUUUCAUACGAUAGGUAUCGUGAAUCGUUAGAUACUAACUACUAGCACAUUUGCAUGCAGGAAAUGAAUGGUCAGAUGCAAUCACAAACUUUAUUUACAAACAAUUAGUGUAUCUGUGGUCUUACAAAAGUAAAUUAGAAUCAAACUAACUAUAAAAUAUAUAGAAAAUUUUGGGUUCCAGCAGUGACACAAAAUGCUGGGGUAACAGAUAGAAAUAUAAGCCAAGUGGAUUUCUUAGGGAGAAACAAAGGAAGAAAUGGAAAAAUAUAUAUUAUAUUUCAGGAUUCAAAAUAGUUUUGUUCUGUUUAUACAAACACAUAACAAGAUGAAUAAUUAGAACAAGAUGCAACUGACUUAGUAAAAGUCUGAUAAUCGUACACAAUAUGAUAUACAAAAGGAGACAUCCACAUAGUAAAAAAUAAUUCUAAAAUUUAUCACCCAACUGUUUUCUCUAUUAGCAAAUGAAAGAAUUCAAACAGAACCAGAAUCAACGCUUUCUUCUACCUGAAUAAAAAGAUGAUGCCAUGUGCUUGAGGUUGAAGGUCUAUUCCACAGUUAACAUUUCCAGACAUCUUCUGCUAUAAGAGUCUGCCUACAAUCACAACACAGGACAAUGGAAAUAGGGGAAACCUUCCCUCCCUGUUUAGCAGUACAAUCGAAAAACAAAAAACAAAACAUUAACCUUUAAAUGAAUUUUUCAAGAUUGAAACAAACUCAGGCAAAACUCAGAUUUAUGUUCAGAACAUCAAACUUAAUCUAUUCAUAACCUGCAGCACAUAGCAAGAUUGAGAACUUAUCCUACAUUUAUCAUCACAAUAACACACAAAAUAACAAUAACCCCAAGAGAGUAAAAUUCAAAACCAUGAUGCAAAAUCUUCUCAGAACUAUAUAUAAAUCUUGAAAACUCAAGAAGUAAAUUAAAAUAAAAAUGUUUUUUAUAUUUCCAGGUAUAACCAACUAAGUGUGUAUGACCCAUAGUUCCUUACAACUUAUUGCCAAGGGGCUUAUUUAAAGACAUCCUAAAUUCUUACUAGAUCAAUGAACACAAGGACAACAAGUACACAUUCUCUAUUUUAUCCAAUUAUCCCUUUCCUUCUUUCCUUCUAAUAAAUCAAACAGGAUUGUUGCAGCUGCUG
rnacentral:lncRNA from 1 species